AUACUUUUAAACACAUAUAUUUGUGAAUUUCCUUUACAUUUAUAUGAAACAAGAAAUAUUUGUGUGUGCAUCAGAAAUAUAUUUGUGAACCAUUUUGUGGAUUUUUUAUUUAUUUUUUUACAUUUAUAUGCAACGAUAACUAUUUUUGUGUGCAUUGAAAAAUAUAUUUGUGGAGAGAGUCAUUUAAAUAUAAAUUACAAAAUACAUUUGUGAAUCCUUCUGUGUGCAUUCAUUAAUACUGAGACUGAUCUGAUUCCGUAUGCGUAACACUAAAGCUGCCCACACAUGAUCAGCGGUGAAAUCGCUCUGCGCUGGCUCUGCCAAUGUUUUCCUAUGGAGAGAGCGGCGUCGCCCGACUAGGUGGAAGCACUACCCUUGGAGUACCUCGCUCAAAGUUAAAAUUAUUUCAACUUUGACCUUGGUUACCGCUGACCUUUCAAAGCACAACCAAUGAGAACAGCUGUUGUUGCCUAGAAACAGUGAAUGCCGCUCUUGGUGCACUUCUUGAUGGCAUACAGUAUCAUACCUGCGCUGUUCUUAACCUCUGCAAGGCUCUGCGCCCUACCUCGUGCUCUCAGCAGACUCAGAGACUUUAUUCAGAGCCGUGAUGCUAGGCAGACUGACACCAGGAGUCCUGACCGCCUGCCGAUUGCAACCUCUCUCACUCCCACGCAAACAACAUGGACUCUCUACCUUCAGCAGUGGGUGGACACAGUAAUGGAAUCACCACAUGAGAAAGGAUUAGAACGUUGAAGUAGCUAAAAAAAAACAUUACAAUGAAUUCAGAUUAAAGUGUUGGCAGUCAUCGUGUGUAUAUGUGGUUUUAAAAGUAAUAUGAGGCAACUAACAGUCUUCUACACAGUCUGUAAUUGGUGUCUGAAUUAUUAGGGCUGUGUGUUGGCAAGAAUCUGGUGAUACGAUACGUAUCACGAUACAGGAGUAACGAUUCAAUAUAUUGCAAUACUGUAAGCAAGGAGAUAUAUUGUGAUUUUUUUCAAAUCUGAUUUUAGGAAAACUGUCAUCGUAUAAAGACACAUCACCACAUGUAUAAAAUCUCAGUAAAAAAAGUCACUAUGUGAAAUGGCUACUAUGGUAACUAACAUCAUCACACAUGAAUACAGUUGGGCUCAUUGGAUCCACAAGAGUCUCAGCUUUACAGUGAUACCCAAUUUAUGUCAUCCAAGACUGUUCAGGGACCCUAGUAUGCAGAAAUAUUCAAACACACCAUUUUAGAAUAGAUGAAAAUAACACAUUUAUACU